CCGGCUUUAGCUCAGUUGGUAGAGCGGAGGACUGUAGUGGUUUGCUGUAAUCCUUAGGUCGCUGGUUCGAAUCCGGCAAGCCGGA
rnacentral:tRNA from 1 species